AUUGAACGCUGGCGGAAUGCUUUACACAUGCAAGUCGAACGGCAGCACGGACUUCGGUCUGGUGGCGAGUGGCGAACGGGUGAGUAAUGUGUCGGAACGUGCCCAGUCGUGGGGGAUAACGUAGUGAAAAUUACGCUAAUACCGCAUACGAUCUAUGGAUGAAAGCGGGGGAUCGCAAGACCUCGCGCGAUUGGAGCGGCCGAUAUCAGAUUAGGUAGUUGGUGGGGUAAAGGCCCACCAAGCCAACGAUCUGUAGCUGGUCUGAGAGGACGACCAGCCACACUGGAACUGAGACACGGUCCAGACUCCUACGGGAGGCAGCAGUGGGGAAUUUUGGACAAUGGGCGAAAGCCUGAUCCAGCCAUUCCGCGUGCAGGAUGAAGGCCCUCGGGUUGUAAACUGCUUUUGUACAGAACGAAAAGGUUUCUACUAAUACUAGGAGCUCAUGACGGUACUGUAAGAAUAAGCACCGGCUAACUACAUGCCAGCAGCCGCCGUAA
rnacentral:rRNA from 1 species